rnacentral:misc_RNA from 1 species
UGAGUAGCUUUGGACCCGUGUCUGCCGGUAGAUCCCCCGACUCUUCGUGCGGCCGACUACCGGCGCCGUGUCCCGUCAUUCGUUUGGCUUAUAUGCUGAUGUUGCCUUUCAAGUGCUUGCGUGCUGGUACCCGACCUACGGGAAGUGGUGCUUCUAACACGUUCGCCUCGCGGUGGACACCUUCGGGUGUGCUGCUGUGGCCUAACGGCGCUUGCGGCGUUUCCUCGUGGUUCCGGCACCUCUUGAGUGCCCGGUGCUACCAAGGCAGCCUCGCUCCCGCCGUUGGUCUCGGAUGCUGCUCACGAUAAAGAGUCUUGGCCCUUUUGGUUGCCAGGACACGACCCUUAAGCUGCUCUCCGAAUUUGAGAACAACCGUGAACAGGUGUUGCCUCUGCCUCUCCACAGUUAGUGGUAGGAUACGUAACAUUCUGCGCCGAUCCUCAAUCAAGUAGGAUGAGCUUGGCCCGCCCAAUCGCGACAACCGGCUCGGCCGUUGCCUCGGCCUUGACACGCAAGUGGAAGGGUGGACAAAGACCGACGCUGGACGUCAACGAGGACGUGCU